CUAAUACAUGCAAGUCGAGCGAGCUUGCCUAGAUGAUUUUAGUGCUUGCACUAAAUGAAACUAGAUACAAGCGAGCGGCGGACGGGUGAGUAACACGUGGGUAACCUGCCCAAGAGACUGGGAUAACACCUGGAAACAGAUGCUAAUACCGGAUAACAACACUAGACGCAUGUCUAGAGUUUGAAAGAUGGUUCUGCUAUCACUCUUGGAUGGACCUGCGGUGCAUUAGCUAGUUGGUAAGGUAAUGGCUUACCAAGGCGAUGAUGCAUAGCCGAGUUGAGAGACUGAUCGGCCACAUUGGGACUGAGACACGGCCCAAACUCCUACGGGAGGCAGCAGUAGGGAAUCUUCCACAAUGGACGAAAGUCUGAUGGAGCAACGCCGCGUGAGUGAAGAAGGGUUUCGGCUCGUAAAGCUCUGUUGGUAGUGAAGAAAGAUAGAGGUAGUAACUGGCCUUUAUUUGACGGUAAUUACUUAGAAAGUCACGGCUAACUACGUGCCAGCAGCCGCGGUAAUACGUAGGUGGCAAGCGUUGUCCGGAUUUAUUGGGCGUAAAGCGAGUGCAGGCGGUUCAAUAAGUCUGAUGUGAAAGCCUUCGGCUCAACCGGAGAAUUGCAUCAGAAACUGUUGAACUUGAGUGCAGAAGAGGAGAGUGGAACUCCAUGUGUAGCGGUGGAAUGCGUAGAUAUAUGGAAGAACACCAGUGGCGAAGGCGGCUCUCUGGUCUGCAACUG
rnacentral:rRNA from 1 species